rnacentral:rRNA from 1 species
AGCAUAUCAAUAAGCGGAGGAAAAGAAACUAACAAGGAUUCCCCUAGUAACUGCGAGUGAAGCGGGAAAAGCUCAAAUUUAAAAUCUGGCGGUCUUUGGCCGUCCGAGUUGUAGUCUGGAGAAGUGCUUUCCGCGCUGGACCGUGUACAAGUCUCUUGGAACAGAGCGUCAUAGAGGGUGAGAAUCCCGUCUUUGACACGGACUACCAGUGCUUUGUGAUGCGCUCUCAAAGAGUCGAGUUGUUUGGGAAUGCAGCUCAAAAUGGGUGGUAAAUUCCAUCUAAAGCUAAAUAUUGGCGAGAGACCGAUAGCGAACAAGUACCGUGAGGGAAAGAUGAAAAGCACUUUGGAAAGAGAGUUAAACAGUACGUGAAAUUGCUGAAAGGGAAACGCUUGAAGUCAGUCGCGUUGGCCAGGACUCAGCCUUGCUUUAGCUUGGUGCAUUUUCUGGUUGACGGGCCAGCAUCGAUUUCGGUCGUCGGAUAAAGGUUGGGGGAAUGUGGCAUCUUCGGAUGUGUUAUAGCCCUCAGUCACAUACGACGGCUGGGAUCGAGGACCGCAGCACGCCUUUAUGGCCGGGGUUCGCCCACGUUCGUGCUUAGGAUGCUGGCAUAAUGGCUUUAAACGACCCGUCUUGAAACACGGACCAAGGAGUCUAACAUGCCUGCGAGUGUUUGGGUGGAAAACCCGAGCGCGUAAUGAAAGUGAAAGUUGAGAUCCCUGUCGCGGGGAGCAUCGACGCCCGGACCUGACCUUCUGUGAUGGAUCUGCGGUAGAGCAUGUAUGUUGGGACCCGAAAGAUGGUGAACUAUGCCUGAAUAGGGUGAAGCCAGAGGAAACUCUGGUGGAGGCUCGUAGCGAUUCUGACGUGCAAAUCGAUCGUCAAAUUUGGGUAUAGGGGCGAAAGACUAAUCGAACCAUCUAGUAGCUGGUUCCUGCCG